rnacentral:tRNA from 1 species
CUCGGACGAGCGUAAGAAAAACUUCGAUGUCUUUUCUUGAACCAGAUGCUCUUCCGAGUUUGUUCCCGUAGCUCAG